rnacentral:rRNA from 1 species
GACGAACCGUGCGAACGUUGUUCGGAAUCACUGGGCUUAAAGGGCGCGUAGGCGGGCUGACAAGUCUGGGGUGAAAUCCCGCGGCUCAACCGUGGAACUGCCUUAGAUACUGUCGGCCUCGAGGAAGGUAGGGGCAUGCGGAACUGUAGGUGGAGCGGUGAAAUGCGUUGAUAUCUACAGGAACUCCGGUGGCGAAAGCGGCGUGCUGGACCUUUUCUGACGCUGAGGCGCGAAAGCUAGGGGAGCAAACAGGG